rnacentral:lncRNA from 1 species
GUUUGCCUUCGUUUUUAUUAAAAAACCUAUUCCGGCCUUUUCUACCUAAAACUUCCUGAACUUUCAUACAGUGUGAACCAUCAACCAAAAAGUUUUCUCAACAAAAAGUUAUUCUGAAAUGAAUACCACGAACCUCCAUUAUCUCCGACCCUGAAAAUUUCAGAGCAUUGGGAUUCAUAGGAAACAAGUGUCACAUAAAAAGAGGUAAUUGCUGAAAAAUUUAACUCCCUGCAACAAAUACUUCAAAAGUUAUGAAGGAAACUCUUUCCCCCGACUUUACGGCCCUGUAACUCGGAAAGGAAGCCUUUGUGGACAAAAUGCUAUAGAACUUUUUCAUCUUAUUUUUGUCUCAAAAUACCGUGGAUUUUCUUCGUGCACCAUUUUAGUUACACCGUAUACCUAUG